rnacentral:rRNA from 1 species
CAGGACAAUGUGGUGUUUAAGCUUGUACCUGGAAUCGCCAACCUACCCGAAGUCCAACUCCGAUUGUGGCUUGGAUUGUUCCCAUAGCGGGUGAUAGGCCCGUACGGGUAGGUUACAUUGUUUUAGCGGUUCUCAGAUGUACUUGCUUUCGAGUCGGAUUGCUUGAGAAUGCAGUCCAAAGUGGGUGGUAAACUCCAUCCAAGGCUAAAUACUGGCACGAGUCCGAUAGUAGACAAGUACCGUGAGGGAAAGUUGAAAAGUACUCUGAAGAGAGAGUAAACAGUACGUGAAGCCGGUUGCAGGGAAGCUGGUGGAGUCAAGCUUCAUGCUUGAAGGAUUUGUAUCAGCAGCAUUUGUUGUAUGGAUGCGGUAGUGAUCAACUUGAAAUAAGUUGGGCGCAUUCGUGUGCUUCAAGUCAUUCCGGGUUGUGUGUUUGAUAUCACUAUCGCUUUUCAGCUGCUGGUGCUCUAUCCUUCGUUGCAUAAAUCAUGGUCGAUAGCAUUGUUUGCGUGUUACGUGAUUGUCUAACUGUACUUUGGCAGGCAUUUGUUUGUCGGGUGCAGGAUGGCAGGUUGCGGCUACAGAUCCUUGUGUUCUGUAUGUCGCUUAUAGUGGUUUCGACCAGCUGAUGAUCAUGUAAUAUCGCUGCUAUUGUUUUUGAUUAGUGCUCAGUCUUAGGACUCUGUGCUGGUUAGAACCAUGAUUCUGAGGUAGAUUUUCCACCCGACCCGUCUUGAAACACGGACCAAGGAGUUUAACAUGCGCGCAAGUCACUGGGCUUAUUAUGAAACCCAAAGGCGCAAUGAAAGUGAAAGGCUUUCAGUCUUAGGUGUGAUUCUAGUUUGCUUUAACAAGGCGGCUAGACGCAGCACCGGCCCGUCUCAUAAUGUUGUCAUUCUGGCUACGGUUGGAAUGCGUCAUAGAGGCGGAGCAAGAGCGCGCAUGUUGAGACCCGAAAGAUGGUGAACUAUGCUUGCGUAGGUUGAAGCCAGAGGAAACUCUGGUGGAGGACCGAAGCGGUUUUGACGUGCAAAUCGAUCGUCAAACGUGAGCAUAGGGGCGAAAGACUAAUCGAACCAUCUAGUAGCUGGUUCCCUCCGAAGUUUCCCUCAGGAUAGCUGGCACUCACUUUGCUUAAUCAGUUUUAUCCGGUAAAGCGAAUGAUUAGAGGUAUUGGGGGCAAAUUGUCCUCAACCUAUUCUCAAACUAUAAAUGGGUACGAUGCUCGGCUCGCUCGAAUGGAGUCAAGCAUUGAAUGUGAGUGCCAAGUGGGCCAUUUUUGGUAAGCAGAACUGGCGCUGUGGGAUGCUCCGAACGUUCAGAUAAGGUGCCCAACGUGACGCUCAUGAGAUACCAGAAAAGGUGUUAAUGCAUAUAGACAGCAGGACGGUGGCCAUGAAAGUCGGAAUCCGCUAAGG